CAAAUCUUAAUAUAAUCUUAGGAGUGGUAAGGGGGUAACAAAACACCUUAACUUUAGAGACACAAGGAUACAACUUAUAGUAGAUUUUUCAUCACACCAUGCAAUCAAGAAGAGGGGCAAACAAAAACUGAAGUAAAUCAAUGCCAGAAGAUCUGUCCUAUAAGAAAUGUGAAAAGGACUUCUUCAGCAACAGGAAGGGAUGCAAGUCAGAAACUUGGAUUUACAUUAAAAAAGGAAGAGCAUCAGAGAAGGAAAACGUAUUAAGGUUGCUCCAUAUCUCCAUUUGUGUCUCUGCUCCAGAUGUAUGUUUUGUGGUUAUCAUCAGGGUGUUCCUUUGAAGUCCCAUGCCAGAAGUUUGUUUUUAAAAAAGAAGAAGAAAGAAAGAAACUAUUCUCAUUGGAAACCCUGAUCUACAACCUUUGUUUUCCUAGCCUCCUGAAUCUGUCAAAAUUCUGCACAGGUAUUCCCGUUCUCAAAAGGUUAUCAGACCAAACCCCUACCCAUCAUUAUAAUAAGUGAAUCCUUAAGGAAAGUAUGGUCAAAUGAUAACUGAAUUAGAUGAAAAGAAACAGGAAUAUCUUUAUAAACCUAGAUUCUUAACACUGUCUCCAAUCCAACAAUGACUUCUGCACUUGUGUAUAUGGUGGACUUCAAGGGACAAAAUCAGUAAGGAUGGCCAAAUAAACAAGAAUGAGUGGGAAUUUAUCUCCCUCAUUUAAACUUGCAUCGAGUUACUGCUAUACUGUAGUUUUAAAAAAAAUCUAUCAUCUGGACAAGAAUAUAGGUUAAAAAUAAUCUGGUGAGCUUCCCUGGUGGCGCAGUGGUUAAGAAACCACUUGCCAAUGCAGGGGACAUGGGUUCGAGCCCUGGCCCAGGAAGAUCCCACAUGCUGUGGAGCAACUAAGCCUGUGCACCACAACUACUGAGCCUGCGCUCUAGGGCCCACAAGCCACAAAUACUGAGCCCACGUGCCACAACUACUGAAGCCUGCAUGCCUAGAGCCCAUGCUCCACAAGAGAAGCCACAAUGAAAAGCCUGCACACUGCAGUGAAGAGUAGCCCCUGCUCACUGCAACUAGAGAAAGCCCACAAAGCAACGAAGACCCAAUACAGUCAAAAAUAAAUAAGUUAAUUAAUAAAAUAAAAUAAUUUGGUAAUUUUCUCUUCAAUUACCUUUGUUAUUUACAUUUAUUCACGAAUUAGUUUUAAAUAUAUUUAUUAAUUCUUCAAAUUUUAAAAAUUUCAUAUUGAUAUGAGUAAUUGGCAAUGUAGAAUUUAAUUAUGUGUAUUAAUUGUGCAUACUGCUACAUUGCUAAACUUUUUUACUAGUCCUAGGAUAUGAUUUGUAGAUUCUAUGGUAUUUUCUACAUUCUACAUAAUCAUGCUACCUAUCGAUACAGAAAGUUUUAUUUCUUCUUUUCCAAUUGUAUUUUUUUCUUGUCAUAUAGCUGACCCUUGAUUUAUUCCUGAUACUCAGAAGUUAAAAGCUUUUUUUUUUUUUUUUUUGCUGUUAGGUAUAAUGUUACCUCCUAUAGCUAUUUUGUAGAUGCCUUUUAUCAGGUUAAAGGAAGUUCCCUCUAUUCCUAGUUCUUUGAGAGUUUUUGUCAUGAUAGAUAGUUGGAUUUUGCCAAAUACUUUGUCAGCAUCUAUUGGGAUGAUCAUAUGAUUUUGUCCCAUAGUCUGUUAACACUGUGAUUUGCAUUAAUUGAUUUAUGAAUGUUGAGGCAGCUUUGCAUUGCUGGGAUAAACCUCAGUAGGUGAUGAUCUAGUAUUAUGUUUGUAUAUUGGUGGUUCAGUAACACAAAAUGCAAGAUGCGUAUGUCCAGACAGCAAAGACUGUAUGAGUAAUGUAUAUUAGUGUUGACUUAUCUCAAGAAUGCAGCACUUAGGAACUUGCUUAGAAAUGUCUUAACAAUAGUGCAAUUCACAUGGACUGUUCAAGGAAGAAUUAAAAUAAACUAUUUUCUACUUUCUACUCUUUUUUAAAUAACAGUAGUAUUUGUCAAUUAUAAAAUUUGAUUAAACAAAAACAUGUGACUUGAAGAUAUAAAAACAGACAUUGAUAUUGAUAUUUAUGUAAAUGUUAAGUGCAAUACAGUGAGUGGUGUGCAAGAUGAAAGACUUAUUGUGAUUUUCAAGAAAAAUUUUUCUCACUGAACAGAGCUACAGAUAUUUCUGGCUAUUUUCAGGGAUACAAAACCUUAUAAGGAAACUACUAUUGAAUGUGUGUGCAACUUCCUAUGUAUAUUUGGGCAUGAGAUUAGAAAAGGAAGAUAUUAGUUGCAUAAAGGAAUUCCUUUCCUCUACUGUCAUCUUUGAAUACAAGUUGCACUCAUUUAAAAUAAAUAAGCAUAGUGAAACUUUCUAGAAAGAUACUUUGAUAGAAUUCUGUUGUAGAUAAUUGGUUUUAUAAUAGAUGCAUAAUUUGACCCUAAAGUAAAAAUCCAAAUUAAUUAACUUUUAUUAAAAAUAGUGAUAGAAAUAUCUUAUGUCACUGCAACACAAGUUUUUUAACUAAACACUCCAAUGAUAUGAAUAAAAACAAAUCAAAUCUUAUUCUGUAAUUAAACAAAAAUUAAUCAAGUGAAGAUAAUUACUUCCAUAGAAAUGAGACCUACUACAAUGGGAAGACCUGCUGUGUUGCCUUCAGAAGUUACACCUCUUUACCUGACACUUCAGCAGGCUUUUCAAACAGGACUUCCCACUAGGCCAGAUUUUCUAAAUCCUUCUGACAGCCAAGAUGGUAUUUCAGAUAGUGUAUGUUCUUCUGUUUAUCCAGGAACUCUCCCAUGAAGUUUAAAAGAUCAGUUUCACUAUUCUUAGAAGCCAAGAUCUUCAGUUCUUGUUGGACCUUGCUUAACAUGUUCUCCAAUUACAAAGCAGACUUUAAAGCUUUGUAUAAGAAAACAAUCUCAUUUUUUCUGAGUGUAACAUUUAAAACUUUUUUAAAUAUAAUAAUCUCCAGAAUAAGCUUUUGUAAUUUCAUAAACUAUAGGUUUAAAGAAUAUACUUCUGUAAGAAAGCCAAUAAUUUUAUGUUUUUGUUUUUUUUAAUAAUUUUAUGUUUUAAAGCAUUAUUCCAGUGCACUUGAUUGGAUAUUUGAUAUGCCUUUUUUUUUUGCCUUUUAAUAUAUUGUUUACUCUCUUUAUUUAUAAGAAAUAAGAUAUUUUAAAAUGAAUAUAUUAAAGGACUAAAACUCAUAUUGCUUAAUCAGAAGAUAAUGAUUUGAGGAGAUGAUAAUAUAACCAUACUAAACUAUUUUUCAUCCAUGGUGGGCCUCAUUGCAUACAAUUAAUUUUCUCCAUGUGCUUUAAAAAUGAUUAACAACAUCUAGUUCUUUCAAUAAUUCUGUUAAUCUCUAAAAUGGAAACACAGAAUCAUAAGAGUUAAAUAAAUAUUGGUACAGUUAACAGCUUCUGACAAGUUAAGACCCUUAUUCAGAUUUUGCUUGUCAUAGCAUUUCAUGGAUGCUAGAAAUACAUUCUUUCUGGAAUUUAUUCAAUAAGUUUAUGACUUUAUGCUGAUUUUUCUGAAGAAAAAUUGUAUUCACCUUUCUUAAAGGAAAAGAAAGAAGGAGAGAAGGAAGGUAGGCAAGAAGGAAGAAUGUUCCACUUCGAUGCCUGCCUUUUGGGAUGUUUUCCUUUGUCUACUUCCUCCUUAAAUAUAACUGAAGUAGGCACUGUGGGGUAUAAACUUUUGGGGACCAUAUAACUUUUGCACACUGCUUCCUGCUAGUGAAAAUUUGGUAACCCAAUAGUUAUUUUUGGCUUUCACAAGACAGACUCAUGUUUUCUUCGGAAAUAAAAUUUCCUUAGGAACUUAGUAAGCUCAUAGUGUCUGCUUCCAGUCUGUUCCAUGUACCAGUGACUAUUCCCCAUGUUCUUUUCCAUACACCAUUUUUAUAUCUAUGUUGUUACUUUUCAUACUAGCUCUGCCUCAGGAAGCCCACAGUGAAAUACAGCUCAUGGCUUAUAUACCUUCCACAUUCACCCCGGUCCUGAUCAUGUGACAUUUGUACAAUAAGGCAUUAGCAAGUAUAUUUCAGAAAACUGGUAAGUGCUUAUAGAUUGGGGCUUGAUUCCUUGGAAUGUGCUUGUUAGAAUCCAGAUGUGAUGAAGAAAAGAAGCUCAAGCUAGAGUACUCAGUAAUAAGAGGCCAUAUGGAUACAGAUCCUAAAAAAUAAAAAAGAGGCCUUCUUGGAUGUACCAGCUCCUGCCAGCUCUAUGCAGUUACAUGAAUAACUUCUCCUAAACCUGAAGAAAAGAACAGCCCAGAUGAUCCUAGGCAACCCACAGAAUCAUGAGUAAUAAUAAAUCAUUAUUGUUUUAAGCUACUAAGUUUGGGGGUGGCUUGUAACACAAGCCACCACCACAAGAGAAAUACACUCUUGCUUUCUUAUAUUAAAGAUCAUUAGCUUGAGGCCAUGUAAAAAAAUAUGGUUGGAAAAAGAUUGGAGUCAUCAUCUUAAUCUCCCACAUUUUGGGUUCUAGAGAACUGGACUUUUCAAAUCUUUGAGUCCUCUAAUCUCAAGACUCUAUGAGAAUUAUAGAAUUAUUAUUAUUAGAAUUAUUCAUCUCUCUUUGCAACUUGCUGCAUUUUAUUUUUGUUUUUUUUGUAAUACAUUCUAACUGCCAUUAUACUAAUAGUUGGUUAUUUCAACCAUUCCCCUAAAACUACUGGCUUGGUAGGAUCACCUUCCUAAUUCUUAUAAGUGGUAAUUGUUCCACCUGCAAUUUUUGCUCCCUCUUUCCUUGAUUUUAAAUUAUGAAGCCGGUGGAACAUGUUUUAUAUUGUUAAUGGGCACUCCCUGUUCCAACAAGUUGAUCUGCUCUAACAAGGAGACCCAAAAUAUAAUUAUUCAGUAAGAUGGAAUUCUAUUUCUCUCUAAUGUAGAAUGUUUCUUUUCCAUGUUAACAUUCCGAAAGCUAAGUUUCCUUUCUUCUCUUGUAUUUUGAUGGUUUGCUUUUGCUUUUUGUGUGUUUGUUUUAUGGUCAGCUCAUAGAGCACCAUCAUUAUCUGCAUUCAGUUCAUAACAACAUUAGAGAAGAGAGAGUUCAGUUAGAAUUGCAGAAUAUUUAGUUAUUUGGGGUCCUAGAUAUGUCAGUAUUAAUAAAGUAGGUAAAAGUAUUUUUUUUCAAAUAGUAAUAAAAGGAAGAAUGGGGGGGGGACUCUAAUGUUUAUCAGAAUUAAGUGCCUCCCAAGAUGACUUAUUUAAAAAUUUAUCCUCUCUUAGAAUCUCUAUUGCAAGAACUUUUAACUAAUUUUAAGGAUAUUGACAUUCUCCUUUAAAAGAAGGGGGUUAGCUCUUUAUACAAAUUGUCAUGUGAUGUCUUUUUCUUAAAGCUAAAUUCGAGGAAAAAAAGCUAUAUCAUUUUUUCUUUCAAUAUAUGCUUGUGUUCUUUGCAUGAAUAUUAAGAUCUUAUAAAUAAUUGUUUCACCUGCUCCUACCCCAUCCGUCUCUCAUGUGACCACACAAGUUUUUGACCAGAUAAAUGACAAAUUUGUGCCUCAACUUCAAAAAGUGUGCAGUAAAUUUCUUCAAAAGCCGAAUUUUAUAUUUUGUCUUGAUCUUGACCCUAUAUGUGUGCAUGGUAUGUGCAUGCACGUAUGCAUGGUGUGUGUAUGUACAUGUGUGUAUGCAUGUGUGUUCUUAUUUUGAAUACUGAAAGAAAAGCAAUAAAAAUAUAGAGGAUUUGAAAAUUUACCAUAUUUUCAUGAAUAAGAAUCAAACAUAGCAUUAUUUUCUCAUGUGUUUCAAGUAUUUUAUGAUAAAAGUAAUAAAAUAAGGAACGCUCCUACACUGUUGGUGGGAAUGUAAAUGGAUACAGCCACUAUGGAUAAAGUACGGAGGUUCCUUAAAAAAGUAAAAAUAGAACUACCAUAUGAUCCAGCAAUGCCACUCCUGGGCAUAUAUCCAGAGAAAACCAUAAUUCAAAAAGAUAUAUGUACCCCAGUGUUCACUGCAGCACAUUUUACAAUAGCCAAGACAUGGAAGCAACCUAAAUGUCCACCAACAGAGGAAUGGAUAAAGAAGAUGUGGUACAUAUAUACAAUGGAAUAUUACUCAGCCAUAAAAAAGAAUGAAAUAAUGGCAUUUGCAGCAACAUGGAUGGACCUAGAGAUUAUCAUACUAAGUGAAGUAAGUCAGAGAAAGACAAAUAUAUGAUAUCACUCGUGUGGAAUCUAAUUUUAAAAAAUGAUACAAAUGAAAUUAUUUACAAAACGGAAACAGACUUACAGAUAUUGAAAACAAACUUAUGGUUACCAAAGGGGAAACGUUGGGGGAGGGAUAAAUUAGGAGCUUGGGAUUAACA